ACUUCGAUAACGGCCGAAAUGCAAAAAAACGCUCGUGUGCUUGGUCUUAGAUGCGCGUGAAAGAACCCCAGGUGGUCGAAAUCGGCCCGUUAGUGCCCCUGUUACGCCAUGUCUCAAAAUAAGAUCGCGUCGUUCGGGCACGCAACUGAAGCAAUAGAAUUUAAAUUUUUUUGUUCCAAGAAAAACGAUGCGGCAGGAGCAGACGACUGCGCGAACAGACAACUCGACACAUGUCGCGGCGCGCGCUCACGAAUUGCAAGUCAUGCUCGCUGCUGGAGCCCAACGCGAAUGCGAAGGCGGCCACGGAAUCUGUAUGACGGAACCGCGAAGAUUCCGUCCGCGGGUUAUAAUAUCCAUAAAACUACGGCGACAGCGCUAACGCCAUUGCAUGUCUAAGAACACAGUGGAAGCAUGUGGAAGCUUCUAGAACAUUCCGAGCUCGGCAACUACGCAGUACGCAGGCUGCAACUUUUCUUUUUUUUUUAUUCCUUUGGUUUGACCAUCGCCCUCGCGCCAGUGGCGGUGAUAACAGCGGCACGGCGGCUAGCGAGCCGGUGACGUAGUUCGACAUUAGACCAAUGAGAGAAGAAAAGAAAUGGUCCGGGCGUAUCAACGCAUGCUCCGAAGAGCUUGGCAUCCUGGUCGUCGUGGGAUUAUAGCGAGCAUCCGGGGGCUUGGGCCGCCAUUUUUCAUUUUCCGUCUGCUUCGGCGUGCGCCGUGUCUGCUGCCUUUUGCGUCGCACCCUACCUCGAGCUCCUGCUGGUCUUAAUUACGCGCUAACAGUGUCAGCGCUUGUCGAAGUUACACGCUGCGCAUGUUCCCGCCUUCGGCCGACUCUGGAAGCACUGGCUUCAUGCACCGGGACCUGAAAAACGUGAGGCACUCCUCGAGAGACUUGUUGCCCGAACCGCCUGCCGUCUCGGCAAUUCCUGGCCCCGCUUUCGAGCUCCCGGAGUGUAAGUGACCGCCAGCCGGCAUAACUACGUUGCUAUACGCCGACGACACUCCGGUCGAGCCGGCGCAGCGUAUAUAAGCCGCAAGUCGUUCCUGCCGAGUACUCGUCCUUUUGUUUGUGCGCGUUUCCACCCCCCGACGGCGCCGGGACUAUUGAACUGUGGAUGAACUCUGAGCGUGGCCACUAACCCCAGGACCUUCGCGACAACCCCUCGUCGCGGCGAGCGUCGUCUCUACGAGCUUCGCAUCGAGCGUCCUAAACGCUCAAAAGGCCUGUGUGUGCACUCUGUGCAUUUUUUCCUAGAUGGUCUAGCUGGCGAGGGUGGCGCAUGCCUUAGAGAAGUUAACUGUUCAGUUGCACUAGCUAGCGCCCACUAGGGUUGUAUAGCUGAAAUACAAAAUUGCGUAAGGUUAGUGCUGUUGCUUAUCUUCGUAAGCCCGAGGUUUCGUGGGCAUGGCUUGCGGCCACACGGGUCUUCUCCGUGCCGGAAUCGAAGAGGACGGGCCACGUGUUGCGGGGUGGCGGCGUAUAGCUUCAGGUUUUAGCUGACACACAGGGUUAGCUCACACUGCGCAGGCAACAGCUGAUAGCCGUCCUCUUACGACUGCGUCAGGGACAUGGACCCAUCCGAAUUGCCUUGCGACCCGACCCCACUAUUUCGUGUCGGAGAUAGCCCGCGCGCGUCAGAGCGCGUGCUAUCGAGCGAAAUGUGGGAUGACGGAAGCAAACGGCAUUCGGACAUUACCUCGCCAGCUAUUAGGCACUAACCCGCUCUACGCAGCACCUCGACGCCGGACGUCGUCGCCUGCUGUUCUCGUCGGAGCUGGGCCGGGCAGCAGCUACAAGCAUCACUCGCACCGCGCCCGGUCUACCGUGUUCCCUCGUCGGAGUGGCCUUGUGGCCCUGCACCGGGAUCCCGAGGUCCGCUUUCGAGAUUGCGGACCACGAGUCGGAAGGAUAUCCAGUGUGCUGCUCCACGUCUGCCAUCCUCCCAACGUCCGGAGGUGGCCUUGAGCACCUCUUACCGUGGCUGACCGCGUCGGCUCCCUUGCAUUUCCACGUCCACGUCGUCCUUCUGCUACGGCGCGCUUCGUUUGCUACUACUGCCCACGUGUAAGAUGGAUAUCCAGUGCGCUGCUCCACGUUUGCCAUCCUCCCAACGUCCCCCUCACGAGAUGGCCUAGAGCACCGCUCGUACCCUGACCGACCGUUCCCCUUCGCCGGUUCGGUCUCGCCGGCAGACGAGAUCGCUCAUCGCCCUUCUUAGCUACGGGAUCCCGACGUCUGCGUUCGAUUGAAGCCCAUAAGUUAUCCAGUGGGCUGCUCCCCGUUUGUCAUCCUCCCAACGUCCCCCUCGGGAGAUGGCCUAAAGCACCACUCGUACUAUGGUCCCAUCGUGUUUGUUAAAUUACCUUCCCUCAACCAUGGCGUCCUGCUGGCAGUCAGAACCUUGCUCCUCGCCCGCCAGUGCUGAUGACCGUUUUGGAUGGCGGUGAGCGCGGAGAACGUCCUAGGCAGUUUUGCCAAAAGAUCAGAUGAUUCUGAGCAACAAUCCUUCCACGGCUUUGGCCGUUUGCACAUCAGCCGGCAACUGGACAUCCAAGUUCGAGUGUGGCUACAACCCCAGGACCUGCGCAGCAACGCCUCGUCACGGCGAGCGUCGUCUCUGCGAGCUUCGCAUCGAGCGUCCUAAACGCUCAUCAGGUGGUCUUUGUGCAUAUUCCAGAUGGUCUAGCUGGCGAGGGUGGCGCACGCCUUAGGGAAGUUAACUGUUUUGUAGUUUUGUAAUGUAUAGCUACAUUACAAAAUUGCUUAGCUGUAAGCCCGAUGUUUCGUGGGCAUGGCUUGCGGCCACACGGGUCUUCUCCGUGCCGGAAUCGAAGAGGACGGGCCACGUGUUGCGGGUGGCGGCGUAUAGCUUCAGGUUUUAGCUGACAUAAGGCUUAGCUCACACUGCGCAGGCUACAGCUGAUAGCUGUCCUCUACGAGUGCGUCAGGGACAUGGACCCUUCCGAAUGGCCUUGCGACCCGACCCCACUAUUUCGUGACAAG